rnacentral:rRNA from 1 species
GACGAACGCUGGCGGCGUGCUUAACACAUGCAAGUCGAACGGAAAGGCCCUGCUUGCAGGGUCCUCGAGUGGCGAACGGGUGAGUAACACGUGGGUGAUCUGCCCUGCACUUCGGGAUAAGCCUGGGAAACUGGGUCUAAUACCGGAUAGGAGCCAUUUUUAGUGUGAUGGUUGGAAAGUUUUUUCGGUGUAGGAUGAGCUCGCGGCCUAUCAGCUUGUUGGUGGGGUAAUGGCCUACCAAGGCGGCGACGGGUAGCCGGCCUGAGAGGGUGGACGGCCACAUUGGGACUGAGAUACGGCCCAGACUCCGACGGGAGGCAGCAGUGGGGAAUAUUGCACAAUGGGCGCAAGCCUGAUGCAGCGACGCCGCGUGGGGGAGGACGGCCUUCGGGUUGUAAACGCCUUUCGCUAGGGACGAAGCUUUUUGUGACGGUACCUAGAUAAGAAGCACCGGCUAACUACGUG